CCCUAUCGUUAAAGUUCACCUGCGUGGCUCCAUUUGAGUCACCGACAGGUAGGCCCAGGUGGCCAACUGCUAAGGAGCCCCAUGCCCAUCCGUAAAAACUGCAAGGGCACAUCUGCCAUGAGAAUUGAGUGACGAGGGCGUUAGUGCAAUUAUCCAUGUGAUUUGUUCGGCAUCUCUUAUCCUGUUCCAUUCAAUCUUCAAUGUCCAUUCCGGACCUCGAUUUCCCCGUCGUCAAUUUUGCCCGCCUGCUAGUUGGAGCAAGGAGAGGAAUUCCUCUUAAAUAGCAUAAAUUCUCGCGAAGCUUCCAUUCAUGGCCGCAUUUAAUCAGUUGACUGUUAAUCCUAAGGUGAUUUCAAGCAAUCAUGAUGUGCUCCUUUGUUUGCGUUCUUCAAAUUUGAAGCCACCGUUUUUCUUAUGAUUCUGAAACUGCGGCUUGGAAACCAAUAUGUAGCGCCAUUAGAACUCUUCAAGUCUUCAGUUAUACUAUGAUUCCUGGAAACAAAAGAACAACUUUUAUGUGUUGUCUGAGUGUUAAUGGCUGCAUGCCAUGUGUUUGAUGAAAUAGCUAUAUGAGAUUUUCCAUGGGGUAUGACCGUAUGGGGGAAUUACUGAAUGUCCAUUUUAUUUGAUGAGGAGUCCAACAAUGUUCCUAAAAACCAUCAUGUAAACAUAUUGUUAUUAAGUCUUUAGAAUCCAUCCUUUUAUACCAAGUUGAUAUGGCAUUCAAGGAACUAAGAGUCUUGCCCAUUACUUUCAUUGAGUCCCGUAGAGUUUAGAGUACAAUAGAAACAUUUGCCAGUCCAUUUUGAUGAUAGAACUUCAUACCUUUAACUAUAUAUAUAUACAUAUCUUAGAUGAUGUCUAUUUUAUUUUCUAAUACACAAGAGGGAUGAAGAUCAAAGUUGCACUGCUUACAGGAGAACACCCAAUACCUCCCCUUCUUCUGGCAUUCAUCACAAACAUAGGCCUUAGCCAUGUCCAACUCAAGCACGUGUCUGUGUUUUGGAUCAUUCACUUGGCGAGGCAGCUUGUCUCCUUCCUUUCUGAGGGCUUCAUCCACUUCAGAAACUCUAGAUUCCGUGAAUGGGAAUGCUGUUGCACCAUAAGUUGAUAUUGCUGUCCUGCCAUCUGUUUUUAGAACUUUACCAUCCAAACCAAGUAUCAGGAGUCCUGGGAUGCCCUUGACAGCGAAGAUUCUUGUAAGCUUUUGCCUGGCAGUGUCAGAAUAAGGGAUGGCAAGCCAUGGCAUUGAACUCAUGCUUGCUUGGAAUUCCCCCUUAUUGCGGUCUAUAGAAAUGAAGAUGACCUCGAAGCUUUCAGGUCUCAAGAUUUUCAGCUCAUUAUACACCUCCUUGAGUUGUUUGGUGAAUACAUGGCAAGGUGGGCACCAAUGUGCUCCAAAAUACAGGCCGACUGUCUUGCCAGUAAGGUCAGCUAUAGGAAUCUGAAAAAACAUUGUCAUAGGAGAAAUUGAACUGUAAAAUUAAACCAAAUUAACUAAAUGGUCAGAAUGAAAAAUUCAAAGGAGACAUGGAUCAUGGAUUGACUUAGUAUGGCAACACAGUUACAAACAAUUGUGUAUCAUCUAAAGAAGUGUUUUUGGUUAAUGAUGCUCUGCAAUCUAAUUAUCUGCAAAUUUGUCAAGCCCCAAUGGUGGCUAGUUUGCAAAUGCAUUUUGAGAUAUCACACCCUUUUUCCCAUUUCUAGUUUUGUAUUCUUUAUAUGAUUACAGCUUUAAGCAUAGCUAGAUUAACAAUAUCUAUUAAUCUUCCAUUUCCAAUUUACAUGGUAUAUAUUCUUCUACAAUAAAAUUAGAGAGAUAUUAGGAAGAACAAGAUUGUGCUUGCAUAUUAGCUUCCAUUAUGUGCACUAUUGGGAUCUUGCUAUAAUGCCUUUCGUUUAUUUGCAAGGUUGUGUGUUCUUGUUCCCUGUCAUAGGACAUACCUACUGACACAGUUUCUCAAGUCUGUAUCUAGACUAUUUUCUCACCUGAAUCAUGUCCUAGUUUUUUUAAUCAAACUUGCAAAUGUAGUAUGUAGUAUCAAACAUAUUUCCUAUUAACAGAGGUAUUUCAUGAGUUUUUUUUGUUCACCUUUAUGUCAUCUGCACUUAUGACAUAGUCUCUCUCCUUGCAGCCAAGAAGCUCCUGAAGCUUACCUCCUUUUCUCCUGGCAUCAUCCAUGGCCUCCAGCUCCCUUCUCCUCUGUGCACUGAAGGGGUAUGCAUCUUCUCCAUACUCGUCAACCAGCCUCACUGCAUCCUCUUCAAAUCCCACCCCACUGGAUGGUGUUGCUGACAAAGGGAUCAAUGCGGGGAUAUGCUCAAUGCCAAAG
rnacentral:lncRNA from 1 species